AUGAUGUUGAUUUUCCAUCUAAAUCAUCAUUUUGGUUGAGAUUGAAAUCUCAAUGGUAAAUCGACAUUGAAACAGCAUUACAAUCCUGACAAAAACCCGACAGUGCAAGAGCAUUGAUAACAGAUGCAUUGAAACAACAUUGGUUUAUAGUUCAUAUUGUCAUAAUCGAUAGAGCAUCGAUAUAGCGUUCACGAAAAGACAUUGAAAAGUCGUGGAUUUAUGAUUGACAGGGAAAUCUUAACGUGGUGAUUGAAAAGUGGUGGGUUUAUAGAUGACCGCGCGACGACGUUUAAACUGUUUGCGGGUCGGGAGAUCAUUGGGAGCAACAGUUCAGUCAGACCAACGGUGUUCAACUCUCUCUCAAGUUCGCCGCUCCUAAUGCUGGAUGGUGGAGGAUGACUAGCUGCAACCGGGAGGUUUAUGGAUGAAUGGAUGGCAGUGAAGCACAGCACACGUGGAUAAGUGAAGAGUGGAUAAAUAAAUUGCACUUGCCUUUCAAACUGAAGAAGUUGUCCAUGGCCUACCUACGUUUUCACUGGAUGGUGGACGAUGACUGCAACCGGGAAGUGUAUGGAGGGAUGCUAUACAGAAUGGAUGGCAGUGAAGCACAGCACACAUGGAUUUCUGAAUUAAGAGUGGAUGAAUAAAUGCACUUGCUUUUCAAACUUAUAA